ensembl:lncRNA
GGGGAAGAUUCCACAUGCCAUGGAGCAACUGUGUCUGUGCGACACAACUGUUGAGCUUGUGUUGUAGAGACGGCAAGCUGCGACUACGGCGCCAUCGUGCCACAACUGCGGAGGCCCGUGCACCCUAGCCUGUGCUCCGCAACGAGAGAAGCCACCGCAAGGAGAAGCCCGUGCACCGGAACUGGAGAGUAGCUCCUGCUCACCGCCAACUAGAGAAAAGCCCUCACAGCAACGGAGGCCCGUAUGGAAAAUGGAUCAGAAGGAACAAGACUGCAGGAGGAGACACGAUAAAAUACUACUGCAUUAGUCUAGGCUGAACACAGAUGCCACCUCUUCCAGGAACCUCUCCGCAUCGUCCAAGCUGAAGUAAUCUCUUCCUCCUCUGAGCUCCCACAGCAUCUCAUAGUGGCUCUGGCUUUGCAUGGGUCACCAGACCUGGUUGUUUACACGGCUGCUUUUCCACUAAGUUAUGCGCUCCUGGAGACCGGGGACCGUGACCGUGACGGUGUACCCACACAGCACCUGGUUCAGCGUUACGGAGCUAGGCACGGAGUCGGUGCUCAGUAAACAGUUUGCUGAGUUGAAUUAAUUUGGAAAUACCACUCAGGGCAGUGUCUCCUGCCCAGGCGCGG